rnacentral:lncRNA from 1 species
CAUGUCAGCGGAGGAGUUUAACAGAUUUGUUGUCACAAACAUCAUUUUGAAACAGAAGGCGAGCUUGUCUCAUAGUGCAGUUUGGGAGCCCCACGAUUAAUACUGCUGUUCAGCCAGCAUGGGUGCUUAUCCUCAUGUACUACAGCAUUUGAUUGCUGGGCUGACACCAGGGGCCCUUGGUUAAAGGAACAGUGUGCCUGGUCUUGGAUAGGGCUGUUUGUGCAGUGCCUGCCACACGCACACUGUUUAAGCUGCUGUAACUCUGACCUCUGGAAAAGACCAAAAGCAAGAAUCUCCUGUCCUCAGGAACCUUCCAGUCCCAGAGUGACCCUUUGGUAGCUAUUCUCAGCAUUGAAACAUCUCCUGGUUUCUGUGAUGAACAUAGUACCUACAUUGAAGAAGAACUCUCCUACGUUUUUUUUUUUUUUUUUUUUUUUUUAAAGAUUUCAUCUUUAGUCUCCUCAAACAGAGAUUCUGGUUUUAGUAAGCAUAAUUUUCAUUUUAAAAGGAUAGCCUAUUAGCCUGUUGGGGGGAUAAAAAGGAUUGAAGUACAUGAUUGUUGCAGAUCUGCA